GUUAGAAAAUACAACCUGGCGGGAGGCAAGAGUUGGGAAGCAGGUCAGCUAACACCUGAACUACUGCAUAUGUAUCCAUAGCCGACAUCCAGAAACUGUGCUCAAUAAAUUUCUAGGAUUAGCUUUGUCUUCAUUUUAUUCUAAUCCACUACUAGUAGUGGUACAAGGAAAACAUUCACCCACCAAUCUACAUACAGCAUCAAGCAGCAGUGUUUCCUGCACUACAACUAUAAAGCAGACAGCUACAAAGUAGAUUUACAGAAAGGCCUAGAUUCAACACCAAAACCAAGAUAUAAGUACCCCCUACCCAUAUGAUAGCUCAUUAUGGCAACCUCCGGUAUACCAAGCCAUUGUGUCACCAGUCAUCAUCUAGCAGUUUGUAUCAUAGGCUGCAAGCCCUUGCAACUCGGGACCUUCCAACUGCCAAAUGGCCAUGGUCCAAAGUCAUUUAUGAAAGAAAAAACCAAAUAACAUUACAAAAAUAAAUUCCAUGCUUAUCAAAGCAUUUGUUCUCUUGUUAAAGGUUGUUUUAUUUGUUUUGGUAAGAAAUUUAA
rnacentral:lncRNA from 1 species